CCUACGGGAGGCAGCAGUAAGGAAUAUUGGUCAAUGGACGAAAGUCUGAACCAGCCAUGCCGCGUGAAGGAUGACGGCCCUCUGGGUUGUAAACUUCUUUUAUAGGGGACGAAAAAAGGGUAUUCUUACUCACUUGACGGUACCCUAGGAAUAAGCACCGGCUAACUCCGUGCCAGCAGCCGCGGUAAUACGGAGGGUGCAAGCGUUAUCCGGAUUCACUGGGUUUAAAGGGUGCGUAGGUGGGUCUAUAAGUCAGUGGUGAAAUCUCCGAGCUUAACUCGGAAACUGCCAUUGAUACUAUAGGCCUUGAAUUAUCUGGAGGUAAGCGGAAUAUGUCAUGUAGCGGUGAAAUGCUUAGAUAUGACAUAGAACACCAAUUGCGAAGGCAGCUUACUACGGAUAUAUUGACACUGAGGCACGAAAGCGUGGGGAUCAAACAGGAUUAGAUACCCUGGUAGUCCACGCCCUAAACUAUGGAUACUCGACAUCAGCGAUACACUGUUGGUGUCUGAGCGAAAGCAUUAAGUAUCCACCUGGAAGUACGACCGCAAGGUUGAAACUCAAAGGAAUUGACGG
rnacentral:rRNA from 1 species